AUUGAACGCUGGCGGCAGGCCUAACACAUGCAAGUCGAGCGGGAUUCUCGGACAUAGCGGCGGACGGGUGAGUAAUGCGUAGGAAGCUACCCGAGAGAGGGGGAUACCAGUUGGAAACGACUGUGAAUACCGCAUAAUGUCUACGGACCAAAGUGUGGGACCUUCGGGCCACAUGCUAUCGGAAGCGCCGCCGUGGGAAUAGCGAGUUGGUGAGGUAAUGGCUCACCAAGGCGACGAUCCCUAGCUUGUUUGAGAGGAUGAUCAGCCACACUGGAACUGAGACACGGUCCAGACUCCUACGGGAGGCAGCAGUGGGGAAUAUUGGACAAUGGGCGCAUGCCUGAUCCAGCCAUGCCGCGUGUGUGAAGAAGGCCUUCGGGUUGUAAAGCACUUUCAGUAGGGAGGAAGCGUUGUGUGUUAAUAGUACACAGCGUUGACGUUACCUACAGAAGAAGCACCGGCUAACUCUGUGCCAGCCGCCGCCGUAACAC
rnacentral:rRNA from 1 species